GGCUCCCGGCGCGGCGGGCACAGCCGGGCCGUCCCGCCCUCGCCUCCUGUGCUUCCAGCUUUUAGAGCAGUUAACAUAACCUCGGGUUUUUAUCCCUAAAUUAUCGCUGAUCGAUGUAAAAGCACUUAUUGUACUGUUUGUGGGGGCUAGUUCAGGUUUAGUUGCUUCUUGGGUGCUUGAUGCAGGCCCCCGGGGCUUAUCAAACUGUGGCGCCGCUUUCCUUUCUGGAAAAAAAACCAAACAACCAACCCGUAUAUUUCCAUUAUGUGUUUUAAUUUUUACCCUUUAACUUUGCAUUUUCAGGAGGCUCCAAAAAUAUUGAAUUUAGUCCUCGGUGUUGCUUGGUUUGCGUUAACGCCUCAGCCCGGGGUCCCAAGGCUCUGUGCACAUAAGUUUAUGCUCCUGUUAUAGCACCCGGCUGAUGGUUGGGGUGAAAAUCUGCCCCUGGUUUGGUGGAUGGACGGCCGCGUGUGUAAUCCAAAGCCUUUCAGGAGCUCCUCUGUGAUGGAAAGGGAGAGGCAAAGCCUGGCUCAGCGAGGACUAAGCAGGGUCCUGGUUACAGAGCAAGUACCUGCAGCAGCAAGGGCAUGGACGCUUUUGGGCAGCUCAAGAGUCAUGCGUAAUUGUACGCAGGUCAUCAAACCGAUCCCCUGAUUAGUCCAAAAGACUCCACUCUUACUCAGCAUGGCAAAACUUCUGGGUGGAGGUGGAUGUAGUCAGUGUCCUGUAAGCAGCUCGAGAUGAACGUGAGCAAGGAGAAGCAGCAGCCUUUGAAAGAGGAUGACUUGAUGAUCCAGGGGAGAUGGUGUGCUGUUACUUGCAUCCAAUGCUGUGGCCUGUGUGCAGCUGAUCAAUGCCAGGAUCAAAGCUUCUCAUGAGCUGGACUUCCGAGUUGGUAGGGACAUGAUGCAUCCUGAGUUUCAACACCUCUUUACAGUGAGGAGCAGCUCACUUCUCAACUUCAUCUGGAAAGUGGAGGAGGCAGCUGGUGUUUCAGGCUUGGCUUGGAGAUGGGGUGAGCAAGAGUAAAAAGUUUAUGCUCUUCAUUUCGAAAGAAGUUGACUUUCAGAAAAGGAAUGGUACUGUACCAAAUCAAAACAGAAUGAAUCGUUAGAUGGAAGAGAAGAAAAUAAAGCAACUAAAACUCCCAUGUAAUACAAAGAUGAAGGAAGGAGUUUGUUGGAAGGUCUAAGAAGAGCUGAGCUGGACUCUGAACUGAUUGCACAGAAGAGAUGCAGAUUGAAAUUAAGAAGACAAAGGGACUUUGAGGAGAAGCUACUUGAUGCCGAUGGUGGGAAGGAGAUGCUGGACUUGGAGAAGCAGCAGAUGACUGUGGAGAAGCAGGAGCUGGCAAGCAGUCUCCCCUCUGAGUGAGGAGGUCCUUCUCAGGCUGAGAUGGAGAGGAUGAAAGAUCUUGAAGGCACCAAGAAAGAAAUUGCUUCAGGCUCUUCUUCCCUGCCUGCAGCUUCACUUCUAGGCACUGCAGGGAACAUCCAACUACCACCACCCAUCCACUACCAGGGACUGUUUCUGGAGACAUCCCACCAGCUCCUCUGCUCCUAGGUUGUUCUGGCAUCCCACCACCGACAGGAUUUGGUAUUCCCCCUCCUGCACUUGCCUUCGGAUUCAGGGGAACCUGUGCACCUUGACUGCUUCUAUGGGGAUCGUCUGCAAAGAAGAUUCUCAGCCAGCCAUGCAGCAGUGGAGACCACUUUGGACUAAGCCCGUAAGCAGCUGUUUCUCCUGUUCUGCAGCAAGCUGUCAAGGAGAAUCAGAAUGGCAUGAAACAGAUGAUAAGCUGUGCAAAGCUGGCAAAGAAGGAGGCAGAGAAGACAUGUCAGGAGAGACAGCAGCAGAGAAGACAGCUGGUAGACAUGAAUGCAGGUGUCUAGCAGGGCUGGAGUGAUGGAUGUUUUACAGGAAGCUUUGCAGUCUGGCAGCCUAUCCCACCGAAGCAGGGGAGCAUGGCAGGACAAAUGCCUUUUGCUGGACUGUGCCGCCUCUGCGCUUCUUCCCACCAGGAGCUCCAGGGCUAGUAAGGGAAGGAAAAAAAAUGGUGCCUCCUAUUACUACUUGAUGUUUGUUCCUUCCACUCAGCUGUCAAGGACACCAUGGCACGGUUCACAUACCCAGCUGGUAUUGCUGCAGUUGCUGACGUGUUACAUCCUUUUAAUCCAUAUCCAAAAUAGCUUCUCCACGGCUCCAUUCGUGCUGGCUUACACAGCACCUUUCACUGUGCCCUCCCACCUGCCAUCAUCUGUUCUCCCACCCAGUGGUGUGGAUUAGGACACCAGACUUUCUUAGAAUUAUAGAAUCAUAGAAUAAUUUGGGUUGGAAGGGACCUUUUAAAGGUCAUCUAGUCCAACACCCCCAACAAUGAGCAAGGACACCUUCAGCCAGAUGAGGUUGCUCAAAGCCCCAUCCAACCUGACUCUUGAAUAUUUCCAGGGAUGGGGCAUCUACAUCCUCUCUGGGCAACCUGCCCCAGUGUUUCACCACCCUCAUCAUAAAAAAUUUCUUCCUUUAGGAGAACAGUGUGAAGAAAUGUUAGAGCAGCUUAUGUGCUGCUGAAAGUGGUUCUUGUAUGAGAGAUUCUGGGUAGAGGGGAUGUGAUGUGCUCAGGGUGGAAAAUAAAACAGAAUAAAACAGGACCCAAAGUGCGAGUGAGAACACGUGGUUCUAGAUCUGUGCCACAGAAGUGGCCGCAAGCCAGUGACCACACCAGAAGAGCAGGGAAGGAAGAUCUCUCAACCAAACAUUUGGAAAAAGAAAACUAGAGUAGAGAUGUAGAAGAGACAAAGCUACAACUUUUCUGUCUCAAAUAUAGGAGGAGGAGGGUCAGAAGUACAGAGAUAAAUCUCUAACUCAGUUUCAGCAGCCUACAGUAGCAGCGGGAUGUUUGCUCAUCUUUUGCAUGCAGAAAAGGACAGGGAUUUAAAGUAACAGGCUGUUCUGCCUUUUGGCCUCAGUGGGGUCCAAGGCUAAUCCAUGGUUAGCAUAGCCUUGCUGCCCCAUCAGACCCUGUUCAGCUUGGUGCCUGUGUGCCAGAAUGUCCUGGUGCUGUUGGAUGUGCAGGGCACCUGUGGUCCUUCACUCGUGACAGGACCAUGACUGUGAGUGGCAGCAGCCCAAAACCUGUAGGCAUGUUCAACCACGGCACCACGUGUGCUCCCAUACACCACCUUGGCUGUUGGUGACAGCAUGCCCUGUGUCCCAUUUACAUAUCCCCAACUUGGUUACACCCCUCUGGCUCUUUCCCAGAGGAGCACUGUGUGCUCUGAUCAGAGGAAGCUCUCCUGCUGUAAUCAAAACCAUGGACAUUUUGUGGGGGGUGGAUCACUUGCUGCCUUCGGAGCUGUUUCAGACCCAGUUUCCCUUGGAGGGGGAGGAUUUGCCUUUCCACAUCUACAAAAACAAGGGGCCCUGACUCACUGCCUACAGGGUGCAAGGGCUAAGAGGGCUCCCUUUACACCAUGCUCAUGGGAGUAGGAGCCAGGGAGGGGUACGAGGCACAUGAGCCUGAACGCUGCCUGUCACUGAGGGGUUUCCUUGCCCUGUCCUCUGGGGAUGCCCCUUUUUUGCUCUUCUCAGAAGGCAGUUUCAGUACAGUGGAGUAUCCGUGUGGUCCUAUUAUGGUUUAACCCCAGUGGGCAGCUAAACACCAUCAGCCAUUAAAUGGCUGAAUACCUGCCUGCUGAUGGGAAGUGGUGAAUUAAUUCCUUUUUUUGCUUUACCUAUUAAACCACCUUUAUUUCAACCCUUACCCUUCUGAUUCUGUCCCCCAUGCCUUUGGGGGAAGUGAGCGAGCAGCUGUAUGAGACUGAGCUGCCCACUGGGGUUAACCCACACCUGGUCUCAAGCCUGUGCUGGUUUUGACAUUGCUGCGUGGUGCUCCAAGAGCAUGUGUUUGCAGAGGAUCCUGCUGGAGCUGGUGCUUCUCUGAGUCUUCCUCCCUGUGAGCUUCCUGCCUGAUGCUUUGCAGUCCCCAGGAGCUCUCUCAGCAGGAAGUACUGUGCUUCUCCAUCACCCUGCUACCAGUUGUCAGGACAUUUCUCCAUCUCCUAUCACAGCUGCCAAGGAAGACAGGAGCUCAGCGUGUGAGCCUUGUCAGUUCUGAUCUCCGACUCUUGUCCUGCCCAGACAGCUGUGUCUAUUCAGCCACAAGCACCUCCAUCCCUAGACUAUAAAGGAAUGGGAAAAGCCACCGGGCUUCUGCUUAAUAGCUUAAAGGACCUGUUGUGGGGAACCGAGGUCAGCGAAAGGGAAAUGCUGCAGCCAGCUCAUUGAGAAAAGCAUGUGGACCAUGGCAGGGCAUGCACACAGUAGCUCAGUGUCCUCCUCCAAUCUGGCCAGCACUUGUCCUACCUUCAGAGCUUCAGCCAGAUGAUUCAGAAUUGGUUUGUGGUUGAAGUGACUCAACCAGUGUCCUUUUCUGUCACCUCAACGUCACACAUAUGCCUUCUGCUUCCCACCACACAGCAAAGUGAAGGCAGAAAAUCAAUUGUGACUCCAUCCCUGCUGGCCUGGGUAUCCAAAGGAAAGAGAGCAAGAGUUGAGCCAGGCUGGAUACAGGGGACUCUUCUUCCUCAAACAGGAUAGAACUGUCAUGUAUAGAGCAGACAUGUUACCCUUUGCCCCAUUGCUCAGUCUGUCGCCUGGUUUGUGGGAGGGAGGAAUAUGCUUAUCUUCAACCCAGGUGAUGCUAACCAGAAACUGAGCCAGGUGAGCUGGGCAGGUUGCAGCCUUUGCCAGUGGGUGCAAUCAUGCCACAGCAAAAAUUUGUGUAUGCUGUGGGAGGAGGAAAUUAUGUCCAAGUCUGUCUGAAAUGUUUUGCCAGUCCUCUGCAGAGCCACUGCAAUCUUGGAUCAGAUCUGCUGGGGAUGACCAAAAAUAGCAUCUCUGGGCAUGGGUUUCCAGCCUGGCGAUCCCAUGGUCAAGCCAUAAAUGCUCAUUGCCCAAAAUACUAUUUAUGUUCAGUAGCUCUAAAGUUUUCCUGUUGUUCUGCUACUGAUGAUGAUGGCAUGAGAAGACAGGUGAUAAAACCCACCUAGACUGCCAAAGGGGCCUCUUGCAGUUUCUUAAAGAAGCUAAGCUCCCAUGGGAUGAGAGAGGAGGUUCCUACCUGACUGCUAACACAUUAUUUAACAGGCUAAAAGGCAGGAAACAAAAUACAUCCGGAAGACUCUGAAUAGUAGGACUAUUUCUGACAAUAUUUCAGUAGGAAAAAAACAAAAGGCUGAAGGGCUGCAGAAGUACCUCACCUCAGUGACUAGUGGCUUUUAGCAUCUCAAAGGGGGUGUCUUGCCAUGUGUGCCUUUCCUUUUAACUCUGUGAGCAGGGGAAGCUCCAAGAUGACCAUUGCCACUUGGAGCAAAACAUGCGGUUUACAGGGUGUCCAUGGCAAUGUCAGCCCAGUUCCAUGCACUAGCUAAAACCUAAAAUCCCCAUCCAAGAUCUAGGAAUCCCGGGAAAAGGAAGGCGAGGAAGGAAAAGCAGCCACAGCAGUAGCUUUUUUUUGUUUGUUUUAAAUAGGCUGUGCUGCCUGCAGUUGUUUCCCCUGCCUGAAGAGGGACAUCAUAAUCUAGAUAAGGUGCAGAAGCAGGCAGCAAGGAUGACAGGGUAGACCUGGGGCUGCUUAAUCCACAAAAGGGGCAUGAAGGGGGUGUAUGAAAUUAUAAACUGGAGAGGUUUGUGUCUCUUCUGCAAGAGCUUGAAUGAAGCUGGGAGGGGCAGGCUUAAAUGCCAAGCUGUAGUUUCACAGCCCUCCUCUUUACAGGAUGUUGCAGAUGCUUACAGUUUACAUGGGUUAAAUAAAGCAAAUGAAUACAUUUAUGGAAGAAAAAGGUGGGAGGAUGUGAGAAAAUUAACUGGCUGAGAAAGAUGAGAGUGUCAGUGGGAGUGUGAGGGAAUAUUUAGGACCUGCAAGGAGCGAAGGUGGAGGCAGCGAGCAGUCUGCUGGGUUCAUGCUGUGUAUCGGGAAGGGGUUUGGCCUGGGGGAGAGCUGGGCAGCAGGAGAAGGACGGCUCUGCCCAGAGAAGCGAGAAGCUUCUGUGGGUUGGGGCUUAGGAGAGGGGUUGGGGACGUGGAAAAGCCUGGGGGAAGAAGGGGCUGCUGGAUCAGAGUAAGGCUGCUGGGGAGAGGAGGCUUUGCUGAGGGAUGAAGACAACAAGAAUUGCAUUGAGUACAGGCUCCUGCUUUCUUUCAGCUCUCUCUAGCUACGCUACAAUCCAGCUGGCAGCUGGGGGUACAUCUUUCACCCUCCCGCUCCUUUCUGCUGUAGCGCCCUAGGGGAUCAUUGCACAAAGCCUGGCAGCUCUGAAUGCUCCCUGUGUUGUCUGCACAAACCAAAUGCUUCAUCCUGCCUCGCUGCUGGGAAGCAGCUCUCAGGCAGCUCUCACACAAUCCAGCAACAGGAACCUGAGGCCACCCUGAGGGUGCUAAUGGGUAUUAGCAGCACCCAUACACCAGGGUCCACCAUCAGAAAACGCCCACCCUGCACAGGGGACAUCUUGUCAGCAGACCUGGAAGGGGAAGGGAGAUGGUCAAUGUCUGGGUUUGGAGGCUGUCCCUCCCCAGCCAGGCUCUGCAUGUGAUCUGCAUGCAUCAGACCUGCUGUGCACAGGGCAGAAGUGCUGUCCUAGCCAUAUGCCAUCCACACUCCAUGAUUCUCUUGCUUUUCUGGUUUUGGGGUUGAGGGACAGACCCAUGAGUGAUGUCUCCUGCCCACUGCGCUGCUGGUGAAAGGGAGUCUGCUGUGGGGCUGCAGUUGGGAACCAGGUCAGGAGAGGCAUAUGUGGCAAGGAGAGGUGAAGGGUAGUUUCAGGCAUGCUCCAGGACAUGCAGAGGGUGAGAGAGGGGUGCUGGGUUUGCCACCAUUAUUUAGCAGAGUCUCCAAAAGGCUUUUAAAUCCUGUACAGGAGCCUACAGCUUGUCUCGUCUGUGCAGUUUCAUGUGCUGGCCCUUGGUAUUUCAGGAGCUAGGGUGACAGCAUGAAAGGUUUCUAGUCCUGAAAGAGUUAAUUUCCCAUGCCUGCAGCAUCUGGGCAGUAAUUCAGCUGCUGCUUUAUAUUUAUGAGCUGGUGUCCUCCUUUCUACCGUCCCCUCCCAAUUAAAAAAAUACAUCUUCUGAGACACUGAAGGCAGGAGCUUGUGCAGGCAGUGCUGUAUGACUGUGCUGGUGCCUGCCCCAUGGCUGUGCUGGCAGCAGUGCUCAGCUGGGCACGCUCGCUCUGUGCCCUAUGCCUUCCAGUCAGCACUCAGCAGCUGCUCUAAUUCAGGGCUGCUGACUUGAGCAUGGCGUCAUGAGCUGGCUGAUCUCAGGCCUUAAGCUAUAAAGGCUUCUUAAGGGUAGGUGCUGUCUGCGCCUCGUUAUUGGGUUGCCAGUGCUUGGCUGUGUCUGGAAGGCAACACUGGGCUUAUAUGGAUAAGGCCAAAGCACAGACCAUGGCGGGAUUCGGGGCAGGGGGGCUGUAAUCUGCUGGCACAACCCCAUGAGAGCCUGGCAGGCAGUAUCCACUGUGACAGCGCCACUGUCCUCUCCCAUAGGGUGUGCGGGGGGUCUCCUAAGGAGUUUGUGCCCUGGGGUGUGGAGUCCCAUUUGGGUCAUGGUGUUGCCUGUCUGGGAGCUACGCAUGCUCUCUGGAGGCCAGCAUCAUCUGGGACCAGCACACAGCUUGGCUGCUGUCCCAUCCCUGCAGGAGGAUGCAGGCUGAUAGUACCCCAGGUUGGAGCUGGGGUACCAGGAGGAUGGAGAACCAAAUAGGGUGACUGGGAAUGCUGUUGGAAAGAAGGCAGUUUGGCAGCCUCUGAUCUAGGAAAGCCACGCAGGGAGGGGUGAGCCAGCACGGGUGUGCAGCAGGGUCUGGGGACCUUUCAGCAUGGCUGAGGUCACCCAGCACAGGGCAGGCUCUUUCCUGUUGGAGCUUGUGCUGCCCAAGUGCCACUGGGAGCACAGGUGCUUCCUGGGAUCACACCGAGUCUUUGCAGCUUUUGGUUGUAAUGCACUUUCAUACUCAAUAAUAAUUCAAUUCUAUUUUUCAUAGUAUUUCAGAUGUUCCUGGGGCUUGUUAUCACAUCACAGGUUGGAAGCGCUAAUGAAAAGCUGGGCAAGCCAAGGAGAGUGUGUGCCUCUGUGCUGGGUCAGGCCGGCAGUCCCAUGUGGCACAUGGCACAGCACCAGUCCCCUUGCAGCUGCAGCUGUACUCAGCAUGGCUCUUUGUUCAGGCCACAAUGCCUGCUUCCUGCUUCAAAUGCACAUCGCGUCUAUUAUCUUACUCCCAUCCCAGGUGCUCAGCUCUGGCAAGCAAACCCAGCAGUGCAUGAACCGGAGAGAAUAAGAGUGAGUGAGCAGCUGCAGAUGGGCCCUUGGGAAGAAGUAGGUGUAUGCCUGCGUGCAAGAGAUUUGUGCUUGAAAGAGAAAAACACUAAGUGUAUUGGGGAAAAGAGUUGCUUCAGUUCAGCCUCAAGCAACUGGUCAGGCAGGAUGGUGCUGGCCAUGGUCCAGGGAUUCCCCACACUCAAACCUAGGUGAACUAAGAACCCAUUGGAAGCAAUGCUUGAUCCCUUCCCAUGUACCACACCCCCCCCCAGGAAGUGAUGAGGGAGUCAAAAAUGGCAGGUAAGGCAAUUAUAGCAUCGGUCCCUCUGCCUUUUUGGUGCCUGGGGAAUCGGAGGGCUCCUUGCAGGGCCAAGAGCUGUGCCACCCUCAUGUCAGGGUGGUGGUGGGUUCUGCCAGGCUGGUAAAUGCCAGCAGAAUUUGCCUUUGCACAGCCAAAUGCCCAUGGCUGAAUUUAGCAGCCCCAGAAAGAUGCAAAAUGAAUGAGAAAUCAGGAUACAUGAUCUGUACCCGGGCCAGCCUGGAGCCUUGCCUGAGAGCUUUUAUUUUCUUGUAACAGUUCCAUUAAUAUAAAACCUUUUUUCAUGGCUUUGCAGCUGUGAGCAAGCGAUGCUCUGGUAGCACUGUGUUGUCAUGACAGUUUCUGUGUACAAAAGAUGGCUAAAUAAACAUUAUUUUUGGUACAAAAAUGUGA